AGUUUGAUCCUGGCUCAGAUUGAACGCUGGCGGCAUGCCUUACACAUGCAAGUCGAACGGCAGCGCGGGGCAACCUGGCGGCGAGUGGCGAACGGGUGAAUAAUAUAUCGGAACGUACCCUGGAGUGGGGGAUAACGUAACGAAAGUUACGCUAAUACCGCAUACGAUCUAAGGAUGAGGGUGGGGGAUCGCAAGACCUCUUGCUCCUGGAGCGGCCGAUAUCUGAUUAGCUAGUUGGGGGGGUAAAGGCCUACCAAGGCAUCGAUCAGUAGCUGGUCUGAGAGGACCACCCCCCACACUGGAACUGAGACACGGUCCACACUCCUACGGGAGGCAGCAGUGGGGAAUUUUGGACGAUGGGCGCAAGCCUGAUCCAGCAAUGCCGCGUGAGUGAAGAAGGCCUUCGGGUUGUAAAUCUCUUUUGUCAAGAAAAAAACGGUGAGGGCUAAUAUCUUUUGCUAAUGACGGUACCUAAAAAAUAAGCACCGGCUAACUACGUGCCAGCAGCCGCGGUAAUACGUAGGGUGCAAGCGUUAAUCGGAAUUACUGGGCGUAAAGCGUGCGCAGGCUGUUUUGUAAGUCUGUCGUAACACUCCCCGG
rnacentral:rRNA from 1 species